AUUGAACGCUGGCGGCAGGCCUAACACAUGCAAGUCGAACGGUAACAGGAAGAAGCUUGCUUCUUUGCUGACGAGUGGCGGACGGGUGAGUAAUGUCUGGGAAACUGCCUGCUGGAGGGGGAUAACUACUGGAAACGGUAGCUAAUACCGCAUAAUGUCGCAAGACCAAAGAGGGGGACCUUCGGGCCUCUUGCCAUCGGAUGUGCCCAGAUGGGAUUAGCUAGUAGGUGGGGUAACGGCUCACCUAGGCGACGAUCCCUAGCUGGUCUGAGAGGAUGACCAGCCACACUGGAACUGAGACACGGUCCAGACUCCUACGGGAGGCAGCAGUGGGGAAUAUUGCACAAUGGGCGCAAGCCUGAUGCAGCUAUGCCGCGUGUAUGAAGAAGGCCUUCGGGUUGUAAAGUACUUUCAGCGGGGAGGAAGGGAGUAAAGUUAAUACCUUUGCUCAUUGACGUUACCCGCAGAAGAAGCACCGGCUAACUCCGUG
rnacentral:rRNA from 1 species